CAGAGAGAGACAUGCGCGCAUAUCAAUAAGCGGAGGAAAAGAAACUAACUAGGAUUCCCUCAGUAACGGCGAGUGAAGCGGGAAGAGCUCAAAUUUGAAAUCUUCAAGGUUCUACCUUGACGAAUUGUAGUUUAAAGAAGUGUUUUCUGUUGGAGUUUUGGUAAAAGUUCUUUGGAAUAGGACAUCAUAGAGGGUGAGAAUCCCGUAUUUGACCAUUACUUUCCAACUUUGUGAUACACUUUCAAAGAGUCGGAUUGUUUGGGAAUGCAGUCCAAAAUGGGUGGUAAAUUUCAUCUAAAGCUAAAUAUUGGCGAGAGACCGAUAGCGAACAAGUACCGUGAGGGAAAGACGAAAAGAACUUUGAAAGGAGAGUUAAACAGUACGUGAAAUUGUCAAAAGGGAAGCGUUUGACACCAGUGUUGUUUUCUCGAAAAUCAAUUAAAAAAGGCAGGAUUUUGUGUUGUAUUGACUUUAUCAGCUUUCUGCACUCUUUUUUGUCUUUUUUAAUGCACUUUUCGUUUAACAAGUCAACAUCAAUUUCUUUUGUUGUAAAAGGGUCAUUGGAAGGUGGCUUUCUUUUCGGAGAAAGUGUUUAUAGCCUUUGGCCUCUGCAAUCGGAGAGAUUGAGGUCUGCAGCGUAGAUCCUUCGGGGUUAGAUACAUUUGUGCUAAGUUAUAGCCCUUCAUAGACAACUUGUUGACUAUGAUCAGUCAUGUAGCUUACUCGCUUAUGCUAUUUUACCUACGCUUAGGAUGUUGAUGUGAUACUGCGAGCA
rnacentral:rRNA from 1 species